rnacentral:rRNA from 1 species
CCUNCCUAUCAGAGGGGAAUAACCCGGCGAAAGUCGGACUAAUACCGCAUAAAACAGGGGCACCGCNUGGUGAUAUUUGUUAAAGAAAUUCGCUGAUAGAUGGGCAUGCGUUCCAUUAGGUAGUUGGUGAGGUAACGGCUCACCAAGCCGACGAUGGAUAGGGGAACUGAGAGGUUGGUCCCCCACACUGGUACUGAGACACGGACCAGACUCCUACGGGAGGCAGCAGUGAGGAAUAUUGGUCAAUGGGCGAGAGCCUGAACCAGCCAAGUCGCGUGAAGGAAGAAGGAUCUAUGGUUCGUAAACUUCUUUUGCAGGGGAAUAAAGUGCAGGACGUGUCCUGUUUUGUAUGUACCCUGAGAAUAAGGAUCGGCUAACUCCGUGCCAGCAGCCGCGGUAAUACGGAGGAUCCGAGCGUUAUCCGGAUUUAUUGGGUUUAAAGGGUGCGUAGGUGGUUUGAUAAGUCAGCGGUGAAAGUUUGCAGCUUAACUGUAAAAAUGCCGUUGAAACUGUCGGACUUGAGUGUAAAUGAGGUAGGCGGAAUGCGUGGUGUAGCGGUGAAAUGCAUAGAUAUCACGAAGAACUCCGAUUG